rnacentral:rRNA from 1 species
AUUACAGAGUGCGAGGCUCAGUCGUGGCAUCUGCUGCGUGCUGGGCCGACCCUCCCACCCGUGUCGAUUUGUAUCUUGUUGCUUUGGCGGGCCGGGCCGCGUCGUCGCUGUCCGCAUGGACCUGCGUCGGCCGCCGCCCACCGGUUUCGACUGGAGCGCGCCCGCCAAAGACCCAACCAAAACUCAUGUUGUUUGUGUCGUCUCAGCUUUAUAAUGAAAAUUGAUAAAACUUUCAACAACGGAUCUCUUGGCUCUGGCAUCGAUGAAGAACGCAGCGAAAUGCGAUAAGUAAUGUGAAUUGCAGAAUUUAGUGAAUCAUCGAAUCUUUGAACGCACAUUGCGCCCCUUGGUAUUCCGAGGGGCAUGCCUGUUCGAGCGUCAUAACACCCCCUCCAGCUGCCGUUGUGUGGCUGCGGUGUUGGGGCUCGUCGCGAUGCGGCGGCCCUUAAAGACAGUGGCGGUCCCGGCGUGGGCUCUACGCGUAGUAACUUGCUUCUCGCGACAGAGUGACGACGGUGGCUUGCCAGAACAACCCCUAUUGGGUCCAGUCACAUGGAUCACAGGUUGACCUCGAAUUAGGUAGGAAUACCCGCUGAACUUAAG